rnacentral:rRNA from 1 species
UACGUAGGUGGCAAGCGUUGUCCGGAGUUAUUGGGCGUAAAGGGUGCGUAGGCGGUCUGACAAGUCUGAUGUGAAAUCUAUGGGCUCAACCCAUAGUCUGCAUCGGAAACUGUCGGGCUUGAGUAUGGGAGAGGUGAGUGGAAUUUCCGGUGUAGCGGUGAAAUGCGUAGAUAUCGGAAGGAACACCUGUGGCGAAAGCGGCUCACUGGACCAUUACUGACGCUGAUGCACGAAAGCGUGGGGAGCGAUCCGG